ACCAGGCACUGUGGCGCAUGCCUGUAGUCCCAGCUACUUGGAAGGCUGAGGUGGGAGGAUCGCUUGAGCCCAGGAGUUCUGUUCUAUAGUGCACUAUGCUAAUUGAGUGUCCACACUAAGUGUGGCAUCAAUAUGGUGACCUCUUGGGAGCAGGGACCACCAGGUUGCCUAGGGUGGGGUGAACCAGCCCAGGUCAGAAAUGGAGCAGGUCAAAACUCCCUUGCUGAUCAGUGAUGGGAUCCCGCCUGUGAAUAGCCACUGCACUCCAGCCUGGGCAAUAUAGUGAGACCCCAUUUCU
rnacentral:SRP_RNA from 1 species